rnacentral:rRNA from 1 species
GACGAACGCUGGCGGCGUGCCUAACACAUGCAAGUCGAACGGGGCUUAGCGAGCUUGCUUGCUAAGCUUAGUGGCGGACGGGUGAGUAACGCGUGAGCAACCUGCCUUUCAGAGGGGGACAACAGUUGGAAACGACUGCUAAUACCGCAUAACAUUAUUGAGUCGCAUGGCUUAAUAAUCAAAGGAGCAAUCCGCUGAAAGAUGGGCUCGCGUCCGAUUAGAUAGUUGGCGGGGUAACGGCCCACCAAGUCGACGAUCGGUAGCCGGACUGAGAGGUUGAACGGCCACAUUGGGACUGAGACACGGCCCAG